AUUGAACGCUAGCGGGAUGCUUUACACAUGCCAGUCGAACGAGUGGCGGACGGGUGAGUAAUGUAUCGGAACGUGCCCAGUAGCGGGGGAUAACUACUCGAAAGGGUGGCUAAUACCGCAUACUAUUGGAGCUGCCGAUAUGGGAUUAGCUAGUUGGUGGGGUAACGGCUCACCAAGGCAACGAUCCGUAGCUGGUUUGAGAGGACGACCAGCCACACUGGGACUGAGACACGGUCCAGACUCCUACGGGAGGCAGCAGUGGGGAAUUUUGGACAAUGGGCGAAAGCCUGAUGCAGCCAUGCCGCGUGUAUGAGAAGGCCUUCGGGUUGUAAAGUACUUUUGGCAGAGAAGCGGUAUCUGCAGAAUAAGCACCGGCUAACUACGUGCCAGCAGCCGCGGUAAUUC
rnacentral:rRNA from 1 species